AAAUGCGAUAAUUAAUGUGAAUUGCAGAAUUCAGUGAAUCAUCGAGUCUUUGAACGCCCAUUGCGCCCCCUGGUAUUCCGGGGGGCAUGCCUGUCCGAGCGUCAUUGCUGCCCUCAAGCACGGCUUGUGUGUUGGGCUUCCGUCCCUGGCAACGGGGACGGGCCCAAAAGGCAGUGGCGGCACCAUGUCUGGUCCUCGAGCGUAUGGGGCUUUGUCACCCGCUCCCGUAGGUCCAGCUGGCAGCUAGCCUCGCAACCAAUCUUUUUAACCAGGUUGACCUCGGAUCAGGUAGGGAUACCCGCUGAACUUAAGC
rnacentral:misc_RNA from 1 species